rnacentral:rRNA from 1 species
CGUAGGGUGCGAGCGUUGUCCGGAAUUAUUGGGCGUAAAGAGCUCGUAGGCGGUUUGUCGCGUCGACUGUGAAAACUGGGGGCUUAACUCUCAGCUUGCAGUCGAUACGGGCAGACUUGAGUUCGGUAGGGGGAGACUGGAAUUCCUGGUGUAGCGGUGAAAUGCGCAGAUAUCAGGAGGAACACCGGUGGCGAAGGCGGGUCUCUGGGCCGAUACUGACGCUGAGGAGCGAAAGCGUGGGGAGCGAACAGGAUUAGAUACCCUGGUAGUCCACGCUGUAAACGUUGGGCGCUAGGUGUGGGGGACAUUCACGUUCUCCGUGCCGUAGCUAACGCAUUAAGCGCCCCGCCUGGGGAGUACGGCCGCAAGGCUA